GGAGAGGAGAGAGCAGGGUGAGAGGAGAGGAGAGAGCAGGGUGAGAGGAGAGGAGAGAGCAGGGUGAGAGGAGAGGAGAGAGCAGGGUGAGAGGAGAGGAGAGAGCAGGGUGAGAGGAGAGGGUAGAGCAGGUGAGAGGAGAGGGUAGAGCAGGUGAGAGGAGAGGGUAGAGCAGGUGAGAGGAGAGGGUAGAGCAGGGGGAGAGGAGAGGGUAGAGCAGGGGGAGAAGAGAGGGUAGAGCAGGAGAGAAUAGAGCAGGGGAGAGGAGAGAAUAGAGCAGGGGAGAGGAGAGGGUAGAGCAAUGGGAGAGGAGAGAGUAGAGCAGGGUGAGAGGAGAGGGUAGAGCAGGGGGAGAGGAGAGAGUAGAGCAGGGGGAGAGGAGAGAGUAGAGCAGGGGGAGAGGAGAGAGUAGAGCAGGG
ensembl:lncRNA